UACAGAGGGGGCAAGCGUUGUUCGGAAUUACUGGGCGUAAAGCGCACGUAGGCGGCUCUUUAAGUCGGGGGUGAAAUCCUGGAGCUCAACUCCAGAACUGCCUUCGAUACUGAAGAGCUUGAGUCCGGGAGAGGUGAGUGGAACUGCGAGUGUAGAGGUGAAAUUCGUAGAUAUUCGCAAGAACACCAGUGGCGAAGGCGGCUCACUGGCCCGGUACUGACGCUGAGGUGCGAAAGCGUGGGGAGCAAACAGGG
rnacentral:rRNA from 1 species